AUUUAAUGAAUUUGUAAAUGGGAAUUAUCAAUAUACUAAUAGAACUUAAUUUUUCCAUUCAUGUUUUUGGGUUUUUUUUUUCUGUGUUCAACAUACUGUAGAUCUUAAAGGUCAUAUGUGCAACUUUGACCCAUUAGGCACUUUCAAUUGCUACAUUGUCACAAUUGAAGAGUGAGUGCAUAUAGGGAUGCUGCCUUAAUGCAGUCCUUCCUCCCUAUGCAGUCCUUCCCAU